GCCCGCCUAGCUCAAUCGGAUAGAGCGUCAGACUCUUACGAGUUGCGGGUGAUAUCACAUCUUAAGUGAUCUGAAGGCUGCGAGUUCGACCCUCGCGGUGGGCU